GCCUAUGAUGACACUUUUGUAUGGUUCCUGAAAUGCUAGGUUUUAACCUGGCUACAAUGAUUAUGCAUUGAACUAGGACGGUCUGAGGC
rnacentral:snoRNA from 1 species